GAUGAACGCUGGCGGCGUGCCUAAUACAUGCAAGUCGAGCGAACAGACGAGGAGCUUGCUCCUCUGACGUUAGCGGCGGACGUGUGAGUAACACGUGGAUAACCUACCUAUAAGACUGGGAUAACUUCGGGAAACCGGAGCUAAUACCGGAUAAUAUAUUGAACCGCAUGGUUCAAUAGUGAAAGACGGUUUUGCUGUCACUUAUCGAUGGAUCCGCGCCGCAUGAGCUAGUUGGUAAGGUAACGGCUUACCAAGGCAAGGAUGCGUAGCCGACGUGAGAGAGUGGUCGGCGACACUGGAGCUGGGACACGGUCCAGACUCCUACGGGAGGCAGCAGUAGGGAAUCUGCCGCAAUGGGCGAAAGCCUGACGGAGUAACGCGAAGUGAGUGAUGAAGGUCUUCGGAUCGUAAAACUCUGUUAUGAGGGAAGAACAACUGUGUAAGUAACUAUGCACGGCGUGACGGUACCUAGUCAGAAAGCCACGGCUAACUACGUG
rnacentral:rRNA from 1 species